rnacentral:lncRNA from 1 species
UUGUUGCCAAACAUAGCGUAGGGCAAGAAAAUAUUUUGUUGCCAUAUAUUCUAAUUUUCUUGCCUAUUCCACAUCAUUAAGAAGAACAAAAUCUGUUUAGCUAUAGCGAUAAAGACUAAUUUUUGUUGCAAGAUAUGAAUUUUAGCAAUAAAGUAAGUUUUGUUGCAAUAGAAUUUGUAGCCAAUACUCUAUUUUCUUGUGGUGU